GCCGGGGUGGUGGAAUUGGUAGACACACAGGACUUAAAAUCCUGCGGACCUUCACCGGACCGUACGAGUUCGAUUCUCGUCCUCGGCACCA
rnacentral:tRNA from 1 species